CAUAAAAUUCAUAUACGUUGUCUGUGGUUCUUUUAAUGAAGGUUCGAGAAAAGUACCUAUCAUUUGGUGCCGAAAUCCGGGAUCUCUCAACCCCCGCUGACAGGCAGAGGAAGACGCGCUGAAUCCGUGCACGGCCAGAGUCAACAGGACCUGGAAAGAAAGACCCAGGAAGCAAAAUUCUUCGCUGGGCCAGCGACACAUGUCCGACUUUGUCUGCCAACGGCGGAGUGACGAGAUCCGACUGGACAACCCGAAAACUACAGAAACGUAGGUGAAUUUUAAAACUAAAGAAGUUAUAAAGGUUUGAGUCCCAGUUGACAGAGUUUCAACUAAAGGCAAAAGGUAAGGCUCUUAGAGCCCCCUUACUUCGAGGACACCCCUUAAGGGCAAGUCCUCAUGUAGAUAGGAAGCUUAUUAUUACUGUUCUGUUAUUACUGUGCUGAUAUUGCUGUUUUGCUACUGCUGCUUUGUUGAUGUGUGUGUAUGAAGGAGUGAAUGGUGCUUCUUUCUCUGGGAGUAAAACACUCUGUCUUCGGAAUUAGAAUCCAAAGUGAAGAACCGCUUGGAAGCUCGGCUCCAAGUAGAAGCCUGUUCUUCAGAAGGCACUGAGCGCUGACCUACGGCACUUUCUCUGAGAGAGCACAUAAUACCAAAAAUUUUCAAGCUAAAAUUGCAAGUGAUUUAAAUAAUGGGAAACACAUAUUUUUGUAAUUCCUCACUUGUUGAGGGCCCUGACGGGGAUGAAAAGUACAUGCUGUCCAGAUUUCCUGGUAGCACUGUACACAUGAAAAAAUGGAGAAAGAAAUAUAAAAUAGAUGGGAAGCUAAAAAUUGAUCAAUGGCAAACAAUUGUGGGAAUUUUGGAGAGUAGUGUAGAAAGA